UUACCACUUGUGCGAACUGUUAAGAGAUAAUGAUAACUUGCUAGUUCAUUGUUGACAUCUAUUUUCGGUGCUUUGUAGAGAUGGACAACCAAGGGUGUCCGAGAUGCAAGACAGCAAAAUACAGGAAUCAGUCCCUGAAACGAAUGGUGAAUGUUUAUGUGAGAGCUGUGUGGACAUGCUUGUGAGAGCUGUGUGGACAUGCUGUUUGUGAGUGGCUCGGGGGAACUGUGUGCAGUGUGGCACGCCCCUGAGGAAGAGUAACUUCCACAUGCAGCUCUUCAAAGACCCAGCCAUCGACAAGGAGGUGGAGAUCCGCAAGAAGGUGCUCAAGAUGUGAUUGAGGGGCACGGGGGAGAAGGUUAGAACGAGAGACUUUGACUUCUCAAGCCUGAGCGAAUACAAUGACUAUUUGGAGCAAAUGGAGGAGAUCGGUGAGAGCAGGCUGUGGACUCGGGAGAUAGAGGGGGGUCUUAGUGCAUUGAUCUGUCUCUGGCCUUGGCUCUGGAUGUUGAAGUUUUACAGGUGUCAGUGCCAGCCAGGGUCAGAGACCCACCAGUCUCUCUCUGCCAAUUCUCAGAGAUCUCUGUCAGAUGGUGUUUGCACUGUGACUAUGGGUUAGCCUAUGGUUUCCUAUGCUUACAUGGUCAGAAACAUGGUUUAUUACUUUUAGAGAAAAACACUACUGGUCAAAAGUUUUA